rnacentral:hammerhead_ribozyme from 1 species
AUCCUGCUGACAAGUCCCGAGUAGGACGAAACGCGCAUCCUGGAU